UCAAAUAUAGUGGCGGAGCUAGGUCGUGCUCUAAGCGUAGUAACCAAAUUCUCGCUUCUGAAGCCGGCCCGGGUCCUGCCGUAAAACCCCCUAUAUUUUUUCUGGUUGACCUCGGAUCAGGUAGGAAUACCCGCUGAACUUAAGCAUAUCAAUAAGCGGAGGAAAAGAAACCAACAGGGAUUGCCCUAGUAACGGCGAGUGAAGCGGCAACAGCUCAAAUUUGAAAUCUGGCCUUCGGGUCCGAGUUGUAAUUUGCAGAGGAUGCUUUUGGCGCGGUGCCUUCCGAGUUCCCUGGAACGGGACGCCUUAGAGGGUGAGAGCCCCGUACGGUUGGACACCAAGCCUCUGUAAAGCUCCUUCGACGAGUCGAGUAGUUUGGGAAUGCUGCUCUAAAUGGGAGGUAAAUUUCUUCUAAAGCUAAAUACCGGCCAGAGACCGAUAGCGCACAAGUAGAGUGAUCGAAAGAUGAAAAGCACUUUGAAAAGAGGGUUAAAUAGCACGUGAAAUUGUUGAAAGGGAAGCGUUUACGGCCAGACCUUUUCCUGGCGGAUCAUCUGGUGUUCUCACCAGUGCACUUCGCCAGGUUUAGGCCAGCAUCGGCUUCUGUAGGGGGAUAAAAGCAGUGGGAAAGUAGCUCCCUCGGGAGUGUUAUAGCCCUAAGCAUAAUACCC
rnacentral:rRNA from 1 species